GGCAUGCUCCGUGGCUUCCUCCCCACUGAGCAUCUGACCAAGGCCAGGAGUCAUGUGCAGCGUCCCUGCCGUCACCAGGAAAAUCUGCCCCAUCAGAUAUGCAAAGUCCAGACAGGUGAGAGACCUGUCUGCCCCAGAGAAUCUCCGUGGAUAGACACUGUGAUAACCUGGAAGCUCCCCCAGGCUGCUUGCAGCUACGGGCCAUUCUCCAAGUUGCUUGAUGCUGCUCGGGGCUUAGCACCAGAGGCAGACAGUGCGUUAGCUGCCAUCCAGGGGACAGGCUUGGGAUGCCUGAGAACACCCAGCAGGAGAGGCACAUGACAUUGGCAAGGGCCCACUCUGCUUUGGCACUUUCACCAGCACCUUUGAAGACUCAAGGUCUCCUGAUGCCCCAAGCCAGUCCGCAUGCAGCCUGGCAGGAUCCUGUGGCCCUGAGCUAAGGGACAGUGCUCUCUGGCGAGCUCUGGGGACCCGGGUGCCCACCAGACCGCACCAGACCCCUGCUCGGCCCUGCUUAGCUGGCUUCAGUGACCAUCCUGCGGUUUGUCCCCUGGCUUUUCUCCUCAGGUGGAACAUCAGUCCCUGAUGAUGCUCAGCCCCCUGUCUCCUGAAACUGGGCCACGCCAUGUGUCUUUCCAGCACAGCCAUCAUCCCAGGUGGGCAGCCUGACUUACGUGGAUGGACCACUGGAGACGUGGGCUCCUCAGGGCCUUGAAUGGUACCACUGUGGGAAAUGCUUGCCCCAGCCAUGUGGCAGGGCCCUGGGUGCCAAAGGCAGCUUCAAUCCUGCCUGUGUCUGCACAGGCCAGUCCUCCAUUCAGGGCCAAUAGGAUGGGCCCCCAGAUGCGGAAUGACAUAUUGCCAAAUGCCUGCCCCCAGAUUGUGCCCACGUAGAUGCCUGCAGCAGUGCACGAACAGCAGGGCCACCUUGGCCUCUCCAGCAGUGGAAUGUACCACUUGUCACCUCUCGCAGGGUGACGGAGACACAAAGGAUUACUCAGAGCCCAUGUAUCCAGAGCAAUGAGAGGCCCAAAGGGGCUGGACCUAGGGAGAACUCCAAGAGAGGAGAGCCCAGGCACAGCCCUGAGUCAGUUUUUAGAGUGGCUCACCCCAAAACAAGAAGUUCCUGAUGAACUAUGCAUGAAAAGGAACCCUAAAACUAGCAAGGAAGACUCCGGCAUUCCUGAGUUUGGAGGAGAAGGAAAAUGGUCUGAUGAGACCCAUGAAGCCUCCCCCAGAGCAUGGGCUUGCGGCCAGGACCGGCACCCACACGGCUCCCUCAGGCUGUCUUGGUUGAGGCUUCAUCCACCCAGAGGCGUCAACAGAGAGGCACAGCUGGGGACUCACCUGGGAAGGGCCGUGGCUGCAGGGACGGUCAGCUUGGCAGCAGGAAUGCCGUACUGCACAUGGGGUGAGUGCAGGGAAGUGUUUUGUCUGAGAGGCCUGCAAACACAGCACACAGGUGAGAAACUGGAAAGGCUGCGGGGGAGCUCUCGCUUGGUGUCCACACGGAGGCUCAGACAGUCACAGUGGGCAGCUGUUCACGAAUGACCUCCGUUCCCACUCACUGCCGGCCAGCGCCCACUGGAGAGCCACGCUAACAUGAGGCCCGCCCCAACGUCAGCUCCUGCUCACUUGAGCAAGGCCACCUGGAAGGGAGUGCUGGGAACUGGCUUGAUAUUCAGAACCUUCUCGACGUCUGAGAAGUGUGUUGGGGGAAGCACGAGAACCCUUCAGCCAGGCAUCAGGGUUCUCAUUGCAGGAAAACAUUAAAGUAACACCCUGAAACUACCAGCCCUGGGUUGCACCUGGCCGUCACCUCCCAACCACCCUGUCCAGCAGGCGCUGCCCCUGGGGCCUCAUCUGGCAGGAAGAGCACUGACCAGGACAGCCACAGCUGGGCCCCACCCGUCCAAGCACAGAGAACUUCUGAAUGCCACAACUUCGUUCUGCCACGGAGACCUGAUAUCGAGUGUCCCUCAUUGGAGCAUUUUGCGAGUUCUGGCAGCACUGUCCCUCCAGGCCUCAUCCUGGCCUGUGAGGGAAGGUGGGAGCCAUCUCUCGGGAGAAGCAGGAAGUGAGCACUGAGGAGGGGUGUUCAGCCCCUGGGACCAGACAUCUGGGGGACACAGAGCCAGCUUCAGGAAGGCAGAGCCCUUCCUUGUCUGGGCCUCUGUCCUCUUCCACACGGGUAGGGGGAGGGUGCAGACCAGCAACAUGGAUUUAAUGGCUCUGGCUGGGUCUAGCUGCAUUUCCUGGGGAGGCUGUGGACAUCAGGGUGCCCCUGGGCUUUAUUACUAGUGACCACUCACUGAUCCCCAGUUUGGGCACCAAGAUAUGAUUGUUUCUUUUGUGCAAGCGAGCUAACAAUGCAGAGGAAGGACUUGGGGACAGGGUCCUGUGGCCUCAGCACCAGGGAGAAAGGCCAGGCACCUGGAUGGCAGAGCUCACUGCAGAAGCCCCACAGGCACUGGGGAGACUGGAAUGACUGCUCUGGAACAGGACAGGGGUAGGGGGUGUCUGCGGUCAGCAGGGCAUAGCUGAAGGGCAGCAGGAGGGUGGUGAGGAGGAUGGGCUGGGCUCUGAGUUGGUGCAGGCGGGGAGCUGGGCACCCUUGCCAAACGUCACCUGCAGGUGAGGAGACUGCGCCAAGCACUCCAGCCUGUGCCCUGAGAACAUUGUGCUUCUGAGGUUGGUGUUCUUUUCUCCUGGCUUCCUCCUCAAAUCCCAGACAUAACGGCAGCAAGGACGAACAGACUGUCCUCACCUUGACCAGAAUCCCCUGUGAUUCCUGCUUGGCUGUGGUGGUGACUGCCUGCUAAGAUCUGUGCUUGAUGCUGUUGCCCGCAGUCGCCCUUGCAGUGGCCCCAGGGGGCCCCAGGUGUGGAUGUACCUGCCAUACUGCUGGGGUGCUCUUUUUACCACAGCCUCAGCCAUGUCCACCUGGCUCGUGUUUUCUAGUGUCCGCACCUGUGUUUUCACGUGUAGCUUUUUUCUGGUGAAGUUGAACACUUGGCCUGUCCAAACACUCCUGCCAUUUGCUAGUGGGAUGUGCUCCUCCCGCUGUGUUCAUUCACAGCAGUCUACGUGCUGUGAAUGCUCCUGUAACAGCCCAUGGCUUGGCUUGUGUUGGUGGCAGAUACUGUCACUGGUCUAGUGUUUCCCACUGUUACUUUGUAUUGUCCAAAAACUUAACUUUCCAACUAGCCAAAGUGUUGAACUUUUACAUAAUAUCCUUAGUCCUUAGUAAGUAUCCUGUACAGUUGGGGUAAAUAUUCUAUUUUGUUUUCGACUACGGUUUUUGUGUAUUGUGGUUGUUUUGUUUUGUUUUCUUAGUCCCUAUGAAUUGCAGUAUUGGGUUCCCAUAUGACUUUUCAUUUGCCUCCACGUAUUCAUACAGAAUGUUUUCUUUCUUGCUGCUUGUUGAUAUCUAUUUUCUCAUAUAGUAAACAUCUAUUUCUGACCUGUU